GGGCGGCUACCCUGAAGGCGGCUCACGGCCCGCCUAAUGACCCCUAAACUCUGUUUAAAAUAGUGUAUUUCUGAAUGCUCCAAACAAAAAUAAGUUAAAACUUUCAACAACGGAUCUCUUGGUUCUGGCAUCGAUGAAGAACGCAGCGAAAUGCGAUAAGUAAUGUGAAUUGCAGAAUUCAGUGAAUCAUCGAAUCUUUGAACGCACAUUGCGCCCAUUAGUAUUCUAGUGGGCAUGCCUAUUCGAGCGUCAUUUCGACCAUUAAGCCCUGUAGCUUAGCGUUGGGAGCCUACGGUUGUAGCGUAGCUCCUCAAAGUCAGUGGCGGAGUUAUGGCGUACUCUGAGCGUAGUAAAUCUUUUCUCGCUUCUGUAGUCGCCCUAGCUGCCUGCCGUAAAACCCCCUAUAUUUCUAGUGGUUGACCUCGGAUUAGGUAGGAAUACCCGCUGAACUUAA
rnacentral:rRNA from 1 species